AGUGCUAUUAAUUAAAGUAACUCCUGCUCAAUGAAAUUAAAUAGCCGCAGAAUUUUAUACUGUGCUAAGGUAGCAUAAUCACUUGUCUUUUAAUUAAAGAAUAGAAUGAACGGAAAAACGAAUUUUAGACUGUUUCAUUUUUACCCAAUAAACUUACCAAAAAGUAAAAACACUUUUCUCAAAAAAAAAGACGAUAAGACCCUAAAGAAAUUUCACUAAAGUUAAGCUGGGGCGGCUUAAUAAAAAAAUCUUAAUAAAUUUAUCCUAAACCCUAAAUUUAUUCCUCAAUGUUACCUUAGGGAUAACAGCAUAAUUCAAUUUUACAGCUCAUAUCUAAAAUUGAGAUUAUGACCUCGAUGUUGAAUUAAAUUUCUAUUAAACGAAAAAAAUUAACUAGAAAGUCUGUUCGACU
rnacentral:rRNA from 1 species